rnacentral:rRNA from 1 species
UAGGGAAUCUUCCGCAAUGGGCGAAAGCCUGACGGAGCAACGCCGCGUGAGUGAUGAAGGUCUUCGGAUCGUAAAACUCUGUUAUUAGGGAAGAACAAAUGUGUAAGUAACUAUGCACAUCUUGACGGUACCUAAUCAGAAAGCCACGGCUAACUACGUGCCAGCAGCCGCGGUAAUACGUAGGUGGCAAGCGUUAUCCGGAAUUAUUGGGCGUAAAGCGCGCGUAGGCGGUCAAUUAAGUCUGAUGUGAAAGCCCCCGGCUCAACCGGGGAGGGUCAUUGGAAACUGGUUGACUUGAGAGCAGAAGAGGAGAGUGGAAUUCCAUGUGUAGCGGUGAAAUGCGUAGAUAUAUGGAGGAACACCAGUGGCGAAGGCGACUCUCUGGUCUGUAACUGACGCUGAGGCUCGAAAGCGUGGGUAGCAAACAGG